UUACAAGAACACAUUGGUAUUGAAGGAACUAGAUAUUGUUCCGAAAUAUCACUUACUCGAACCGUCCUGACCGCGUAGCUCAGUUGGAAGAGCAUUGGGCUAGUAUUCCAAAGGUCGUAGGUUCGAAUCCCACCGUGGCCGGGCAUAUUUUUCAAGCUCGCCCGGUGUGGAUAUGCACUCAGAGUAACAUCACAAACAUAUUAUUCACCUGAGUACACAACACCAGCACAGAAAAAAAAAAAAAAAUUCAUAUUACAAGAACACAUUGGUAUUGAAGGAACUAGAUACUGUUCCGAAAUAUCACUUACUCGAACCGUCCUGACCGCGUAGCUCGGUUGGAAGAGCAUUGGGCUGGUAUUCCAAAGGUCGUAGGUUCGAAUCCCACCGUGGCCGGGCAUAUUUUUCAAGCUCGCCCGGUGUGGAUAUGCACUCAGAGUAACAUCACAAACAUAUUAUUCACCUGAGUACACAACACCAGCACAGAAAAAAAAAAAAAAAUUCAGAUUUCUAACUGGAAACAUGUUUACCAACACUUGAGCUAAGUUAAACAAAAUAUAGAUAUAUUGAAAUGCAAGAAUUCCGUCAAAUUUUCGUCGUAAAUCACUUGUCUAGUCAUCUACGAAUGAG